rnacentral:lncRNA from 1 species
UCAUCAUCAUCAUUAUUAUUAAAUUUUUUUAUUUAUUUUCUUUUAGAAUAACAUGGUACACAUAAAUAGCUAGACAAAGAGAAUCUCUUGUAUAUAUCAAGAGAUCUUACAAGUUAAACUGAACCAAACUGAGACCAUCAUACAAUUGAUGGUAAUAACUGUACCCAUACUUUUAUUUUCUUAAAACAUAACAUAAGAGACUAAUACUGCAUAUUCUUAACCGAGUGUGAUCAAUGUUUCUUCCAUAUUGUGGGACCACAAGAAGAUCAAUAUUUCCAUUAAUUCAUCAUCAGCAAUAAGUGACCAACGUGGCGGUGCAAUCCCUCCGACCAAUCGUUAUAACCUGAAAAAUUCAUGUUAUAAAAUUUAAUCACAAAUACACCUAUUAAAAUAAGAAUUAUAAAUGACAUUUAUUUGAAAAUGCAUGGCCUAGUAUAAACCUGCGCAAGGAGUUCCCAUAAUCUUCAAAUCAGGAAGGCAAAAGAUUUCUGCUGGCUUCGACUGAACGUAUUCAAAAACUCAAUAGGUAAGUAGUUGUGCUUGAGCGAGUUCUUAUUUCUGGUUUGAUCUGAUAUAUAUAGAUCAAGUAGCCGGAACUACGGUGCCAACGUGGCAAAGUAACAAGUUGUGCAUGGUAAAGAUAAUGGAUCAAUGGUUCUAAAUUUAAUCGUACAAUAAGUAGGGAAGGUCAACAGCUCUAUAUGGUUAAGUUAGUGCAUGUGCGAUACAUGGUUCAAAAAAUAAAUAAUUUUAAAUACGAAGGACGAGCAAAUUAAGUAAUAAAUGCCAUUACCAAAUAAUAGUGUGUGGUAUACUAUAGAUAAUGGAUCAACGAUUCAGAUUUCAUCAUACAAUAAGUAGGUAAGAUUAACGGUUAGUGUUAAAUCAUUGCAUGUGCGAAACAUGGUCCACAAAAUAAAUAGUAGUAAACAAGAAAGACGAAUAAAGUAAUCAAAUACCAUGUCAUCAGAUAAAAAGAAAAAAAAGAAAGGUAUACAUACCAUUACCAAACAAUUGCUUGGUAAAGAUAACAGAUUUACCGCUGAAGUCUGAUAAUUGUAAGAUUAACGGCUAUAUAUGGUUCAACUGCAUGUGUA